UAUAUAUAUAUAUAUAUAUAUAUAUAUUUUUUUUUUUUAUAAAGCUCAUAAAAUAAUUUGGGUCGCACAUAAAUUGACAGGGUCGGUCGGAAACCGGAACCAAACAAAACAUUUUUUUAGGCCUUAGAAAGAUGGUUGCUUUCAAACAUACAUUUAUUGAAGAUGUUUUUCUCCUGGAAACUCAUUGAACCACAAAUGGUCUCCUGGAUAAUUCUUUGAUUUUAUACCUGGAAAAGGAGCAAUCAAAGACAAGACAACCAAUUAUGUUGGCAGAUCUGCUUUUAGUAAAAUACUGAAAUCUGUCUCCCAGCUACAUCGUCAAUGGCAAUGAUGAUUAUGUGGAUGGUGAUGAGGAGGAGGAGGUGGAGGGGAGAGGUGUUGGGCCGCCGGCGGCUGAGGGGACUGGAGCUGGUGAAGGGGGGGGCUGGGCUGCAGCAUGAUCCAACCUCCCACAGAUUCUCCCAUGCUCCUCUUAUUGCAGACGAUCUUAUUGCGUUUUUGAAGCUUCGAUUUGAAGUCUGCGAGCAAGAUAUUUGUUAGCUCUCUCUCUCUCUCUCUCUCUCUCUCUCUCUCUCUCUCAGCAGCAACAGAUCCAUAGCACAUCCUGAGCAGCAAGCAGCUACUGAUCCAUAGCACAACAGGCUAUGGAUCACAUCUCCCCCCUCCCCUCCCUCCCCUCCUUCUCCCUACCUCUCAACCCUUACCACCACCGGCAUGAUUCAGAAGGUCUCUACACGGAAACAUAUUCUAAAGGAGGGGGAAGAAAUACAGUGCCUUUGUACUUUCUGAAUGAAGUGAAGAAAAAGACUAUGAAAACCUGGCAUUUUCCAAUUGUUUCUCUUUUUUAAGCAUUCACACAGAGAUUAUAAAUGGAGGGUAGUGAAGGAAAUGAGAGAGAGAGAGAGAGAGAGAGAGAGAGAGAGAGAGAGAGAGAGAGAGAGAGAGAGAGAGAGAGAGAGAGAGGGUAAAGUUAACUUAGAUUUCCGUGAUGCCUCUAGCUGACUCUCGCUAUCGCAUUCUUACUCACUAGCCCCUGCUUUCUGGCCUUUGGUGACGAUAACAACUCUCUGUUGAAGUUGAAUGGCUCUCUGCUGCUCAUUCCUUACUAUAUCAUUUUCAGGCCAGAGCCUGAUAAGUGGGAAAAUUGAGUUUUCGCCUUCACGCUUGACUGCGUCUGAUUCUGUGCACUGCACAAUUUAUAUGGGAGCUAUGUCUGCAGUGUACAAUAGCACUGUAGACUCACGAUAAGUGUACACAUCUAUCUCUGUGAGCCUUAUUGAUCCUGCAAGGGUGCAGGCAGGUUUGGCUGAUAGCGCUGCCAAUGGGACCAUUGGCCAUGUUUAGUUUCACAAUAAGACUUUUAACACCGGCGGUGUUGACAGGUAAUUAAUGUAGGGGAAUGAAACAUGGGCACACAACAGACACAUUCAGAUACACACAGGUGACCAACCUCACCUGCUAACCUGCUUGUUCCGGAUCUCUGUG